rnacentral:rRNA from 1 species
UGGGGAAUAAUGCACAAUGGGCGCAAGCCUGAUGCAGCCAUGCCGCGUGUGUGAAGAAGGCCUUCGGGUUGUAAAGCACUUUCAGCGAGGAGGAAGGGUAGUGUGUUAAUAGCACAUUGCAUUGACGUUACUCGCAGAAGAAGCACCGGCUAACUCCGUGACAGCAGCCGCGGUAAUACGGAGGGUGCAAGCGUUAAUCGGAAUUACUGGGCGUAAAGCGCACGCAGGCGGUUUGUUAAGUCAGAUGUGAAAUCCCCGCGCUUAACGUGGGAACUGCAUUUGAAACUGGCAAGCUAGAGUCUUGUAGAGGGGGGUAGAAUUCCAGGUGUAGCGGUGAAAUGCGUAGAGAUCUGGAGGAAUACCGGUGGCGAAGGCGGCCCCCUGGACAAAGACUGACGCUCAGGUGCGAAAGCGUGGGGAGCAAACA